AGCGAACGCUGGCGGCAGGCUUAACACAUGCAAGUCGAGCGGGCAUCCUUGUGGUGUCAGCGGCAGACGGGUGAGUAACGCGUGGGAACGUGCCCUUCGGUUCGGAAUAACUCGGGGAAACUUGAGCUAAUACCGGAUACGUGCGAGAGCAGAAAGGUUUAUCUGCCGAAGGAUCGGCCCGCGUCUGAUUAGCUAGUUGGUGAGGUUAUGGCUCACCAAGGCGACGAUCAGUAGCUGGUCUGAGAGGAUGAUCAGCCACACUGGGACUGAGACACGGCCCAGACUCCUACGGGAGGCAGCAGUGGGGAAUAUUGGACAAUGGGGGCAACCCUGAUCCAGCCAUGCCGCGUGAGUGAUGACGGCCUUAGGGUUGUAAAGCUCUUUUCUUCGGGAUGAUAAUGACGGUACCGGAGGAAUAAGCCCCGGCUAACUUCGUG
rnacentral:rRNA from 1 species